GUGGGGAAUUUUGGACAAUGGGCGCAAGCCUGAUCCAGCAAUGCCGCGUGCAGGAAGAAGGCCUUCGGGUUGUAAACUGCUUUUGUACGGAACGAAACGGUCCUGGUUAAUACCUGGGGCUAAUGACGGUACCGUAAGAAUAAGCACCGGCUAACUACGUGCCAGCAGCCGCGGUAAUACGUAGGGUGCGAGCGUUAAUCGGAAUUACUGGGCGUAAAGCGUGCGCAGGCGGUGCUGUAAGACAGGCGUGAAAUCCCCGGGCUCAACCUGGGAAUUGCGCUUGUGACUGCAGUGCUGGAGUACGGCAGAGGGGGAUGGAAUUCCGCGUGUAGCAGUGAAAUGCGUAGAUAUGCGGAGGAACACCGAUGGCGAAGGCAGUCCCCUGGGCCUGUACUGACGCUCAUGCACGAAAGCGUGGGGAGCAAACAGGAUUAGAUACCCCGGGUAGUCC
rnacentral:rRNA from 1 species